UGCCUUAAGAAUGGAAAGAUUAAUCUGAACCUUGAAAAAGGCAUUAAGAUGAAAUUUGACAUCAGAAAAGCUUCAGGGAAAUCAACAACAGGAGGUUAGAGUUUUGGGAUUCAGGACAUGGAUAUUGACGAAGAAACAGAAGCUGAAACCCCACCAAGAGUUAACUAUACUUCUCAACUCAGCAAGCUGAAGAGAACUUUUGACCACAAGAAGAGAUCAACAGAAGGGUUAGUUCAGACUGAAGAUCCUACAGAAGAUGACUGGUAUGAGAUGAGAAAAAAA
rnacentral:sRNA from 1 species